ensembl:lncRNA
UACUUUUAUUUUUGUAGAUCUUUUUUCUUUUUUCUUUUUUUUUCCUUUCUAAAGAUCCGAAAGGGAUUUAAAAUUCUCCAAAGAAAAGAGGACGGCCGAUGGGUACGGAGAAGGAGAAUGAAGACAAAUGGCACCGCUGGAGCAGGUGUCUGUUCUGCAACGUGUUGCAGGGCUGCCUUUGUUUCCUGGCUUUUGGGGACGUCUCGCUUUGCUCCUGGUUUGCUCCCCCUUCCCUGCAGGCGGUGCGGAGCCCAUUUCCCUUCCAUCACAUAAGCUCACUUGUUGGAUUAGCAGCCCCGGAUUGGGUGGGGAGACGAGGAAAACAUGUUGCCGAGCGCUGGAAGGGGGCUGGGAGGAAACAAGCCUGUAAUUUCUCAGUCUCUGCUACCACGUUUUAGUGCUGGGAGGUGGUGUGCCCUUGGGGACGCACUGCAGAUCCCCUUUUCUCCCCCGAUAGAUCACUCACGACCUUCUUGUCUGAUCGGAAGCCGAGCGCAAUCAGUUCAGACUAAAACCCGACCCCCUUCCUUUCUAUCCUUAAUUCCCUUCCCCUGCAGCCCCGGGCGUGAUUUCACCCAGCGCAGGAUCUGGGGGUCCGUGUGCUGCGGAGGGCGGAGCGGGAUGGGGUGGGUGCACAAGGGCUGUGGCUCUGAGCUGCCGAGCUGCAGACAAAGGGAUGUUUCCACCUUUUGCACCGCGGCUGGGAGAGAUGCAGCUGCUCAUGGCAAGGAGAUUGAAGUGUGAGAUUUGGGAGCCUGCAAACAUGAGUGGAGAAAGGACCACGCUCAGCUCACCUGGAGCACAACCCCAAAGUGUCCUCCAAGGGCAGAAAUGAAAGCUCAGCCGGGAAAGCUCGGCAGCCUUUGGAAACCAGGGGGACAAAUGCAGAGCUAGAAAGAGCAAGAUUGCAAUGUAAGCCCAAAGCCGCCAGGGAAAAUGUGCCUCCUUCAUCCUUCCGUGCACACCGGGGGCUGCAGGACAUCUGAUGGGAUCAGAGAGCAGAAAAGCUUCAGUGUGAGAGCUUCAGGACUGCGCUUGGGGAUGAGACACCUCCAAAGGAGAUGGCACCCACUGAUGGAUGGAGCUCCAACCCCGACCUGCUCCUCGCUUCAUCCACGUCUUCUCACAAAUGCAAUACGGAUGGGAGGUUCUUUUGUGCAAUGUGAUGAGACAGCACGAAGCCAGGAGGAAAAAAAAGCCGGACGGAGGUGGAAAUGGGUUGGGUGUUAUUGCAGGGUUUGGGGUUUUGUUGUUUUGUUUUCUUUUCUUGUUAUAAAGAAACUCUUGGAAGGUUGAGCAGUCGGAAGGGGAAUGCUGAGCAGAGCCACCGUUGGGCUGCCCAAGUGGUCUGCUUGGGGUGGAAGCAAAGUGGGGGCACGUGGGCUGCUCCCAGUGCUCCCAGUGACACGGGCUGGUUUUGGCCAUCGGAAGUGAACAAGCUCUGUUCUAUUUUUACUGGCUUUCCUGUAGAUGCUCUUUAUAAAUAGGUACGUGCUGCACCAAAGGCGUCCCUCCCUGCCUCCUGCAAUGGGAGCCAUGUCCUCCCACCAGGCUGCAGCUCCCCAGCACUGGAAUGAAUGCCAAAAGGUGUUCGGUGUCUGGGGGUGAGGGCUGACCCCAUUUCCAUCCCUGUGAGCCUCGAAUAACCCAACGGUGCUCUCCUCCCAUUGCGGUGGAUGGAGCUCGGAGGGCUCUGUGCUCCGUGUCACAUCCAGCCCUGCAAAGCAGCUGUGAAGCGAUGGGUUUGCAGCCUUCCUGCAGCACUUAUUCUGGUCCUGAGGGCGCAAAGGGAUCGAACAAACAAACCUGCAGUGAUCCCAUAGGGGGGAGCAACCGUCUGCCUGCAGGGGGGUCGGGGCUGCAGACAGCCCAGCACCCCAUGAGAUGGGACCCAGCACCCUCAGCACCCCCUGUGGGCAGGAGGAGAGCUGAUUUCCUCUCGGGAAGCCCUGAUCCCAGAGGUGUUGAAUUUAGUUUCUUUUGGAACAUUAAACAGUAGCCCUUAAAAGUGGGGAUAGAAUGUAUCAGUACUAAAGUUAUUUUUCUUUCUCACCUCUGUGUUACCCAGAGAUUUUUUUAUGAGAUAGGUGUGUGUGCGCACCGUGGUUGUGCCUCAUCCGUUUUCAAUGAGCUCUGUGUUAAAGCGUCUCUCUGCUUGGGGUUGGAUGGGAUGGGAAGAGCAGAGCCCUUUUGCUGGGCUCUGAAGCAGUGAUGCCCCAAUGGGUGCCAGCAGCUCUGCUCCCCAAACCUCACCUUCCCCACGGACACCCCGAGUGUCCCCAUCCAUUGCAGGCAGUUGGACCAAAUGGCCUCUAAGGGUCCCUUCCAACUCCAUUCCAUGACUCUGUGAUGUCUCCAACUCGUGGAAAUCACCAAAUUUCAACCUGUUCUCAGUGUUGUACAUAACAGCUCUGGCAACAAAACCGCCCUUCAGCCCACGUGUGCUCCAUGCUGUUGGAUUUCGUUUGCUUGAUUGCUGACCCGGCUAAUUGUUAAUGUGCUUCCUCCAAAU